rnacentral:rRNA from 1 species
UACGAAGGGGGCUAGCGUUGCUCGGAAUUACUGGGCGUAAAGGGCGCGUAGGCGGAUACUUAAGUCGGGGGUGAAAGCCCGGGGCUCAACCUCGGAAUUGCCUUCGAUACUGGGUAUCUUGAGUUCGGGAGAGGUGAGUGGAAUGCCGAGUGUAGAGGUGAAAUUCGUAGAUAUUCGGCGGAACACCAGUGGCGAAGGCGACUCACUGGCCCGAUACUGACGCUGAUGCGCGAAAGCGUGGGGAGCAAACAGGG